UACGUAGGGACCAAGCGUUGUUCGGAAUUACUGGGCGUAAAGGGCUUGUAGGCGGCCAACUAAGUCCGACGUGAAAUCCCCAGGCUUAACCUGGGAACUGCGUCGGAUACUGGAUGGCUUGAAUUCGGGAGAGGGAUGCAGAAUUCCAGGUGUAGCGGUGAAAUGCGUAGAUAUCUGGAGGAAUACCGGUGGCGAAGGCGGCAUCCUGGACCGACAUUGACGCUGAGGAGCGAAAGCUAGGGGAGCAAACGGG
rnacentral:rRNA from 1 species